AUGCUAUCAAAACGGCCUUCUUGCUAACAGAUUGUUAAAGCCCCACAGAACAGUUCUUAUAUGCUUAUGAUUUUAUUUUGUAAAGGGAGAAUAGAGAAGAAAAGAGAACAGAAAGGAGUACUGGUGCAUUUCAACAAAGCCGCAUGAAACCAGGAGCAACCA